UGGCCAUCCUGGCUCCCCAUUUCUCUCUUUCAUUCUGCCUCUGAUUUUUUCUUGCAGCCAGGCAUCAUAGUACACAGCAGUAGAUCGGGACCUGCUGCAUGGGUCUCCAGUGUGUGUGUGUGUGUGUGUGUGUGUGUGCUGUUGUUUGCCAUUCAAUUAUCGUGGAAAGAUUUCAUUGCUAUUGUGAAAUCGGUUUAGUGAGUGUGUGUUUUUCAGUGCUGCACUCUGGUUGUGCUGAAUCAUAGGUUUUUUCCGUGUUCAGUUUGUUCAAGUUUUAAGAACAUCUGUAUCUGUGCUUUUCAAGGAUAUUUCUGUGCAGGUUAUUUUUCUGUGAUGUGUUUGUGUGUUUUCAAUAAUCACAGCAACAAUGAGCUCAUGAGUUGGGAAAUAUUUUUUCUUUUUAUAUUCUCAUGACUUUGUGUAAAAUUGAUAUAAUUUCUAACUACAUUGUGUAAAAUUGAUAUAAUUUCUAACUACAGUGUUCGGUAAAAUUCACCAGUGAAGCUAUUUGAGCCUGGAGGUAGUGGGAAGGUUUUAACCAAUUCAGUUUCUUCUACAGAUAGGAUGCUCAGGCCUAUAAGUUUGAAUCAUUCUUGUCUUUCAAGAAAUCAAAGUUGUUGCACUUAUUGGCCUGAAGUUCUCCCCUUAUCUCUUUAUCCUUUCAGGCUUUAGGAUCAACCAGUAGUGCUAUCCUGAUUGUUAAUUUCAGAACACAUUUCAUCAUAGUGAGAGAACAUCCUUUGUAUAAUUUAAAUCCUUUUAAAUUGAUUGAGAUGUAUUUUGUGUCUGUAACCAUGAGACUGUCUUUGGAAAUUUUCUUCCAUGUACACUUGAAACCAGUGAAUAUUACCCUGUUGUUUGGGUAGAAUAUUCCUGUGAAUGUCAAUCAGUACAAGUUUGUCCAUAAUGUCAAAAUCUUUGGAUCCUUACAAAUUCUGUUUAAUUUUUCUAUCAAACUGUGAGAAGGAUGUUGAAACAUCUGACUAUCACUGUGUAUUCAUUUGUCCUUUUAAUUUUUAUCAGUAUUUUGUGUAUUUGAAGCUGUGUUAUUAGGUGCAUAAAUGUUCUCCAUUUUUCUAUGUUUGUGAUUAAUUGAUGUCUUUCUCAUGAAACAAACUGUUUUACCCUUGGUGAUCAUCUUCACUCAGAAAAUGACUUUCCCUGAUGUUCGUGUUGCCACUCCAGCUGCCUUGAUUCAUCUGAACAGGGCACAGCUUUCUGCAUCCUCUUUUGACUAAGUUGUUCUUUUGUAUUUACAGAGGACUGUAACAUUGAUUUUGCCCAAAGCAGGCUGUAAAGAGUUGACCCCACAACUGGCUUGUUUAUAGAAGUGAGUCUGGCUGAAGCCUCCAUGCCAAGGUCAGAGUAACUCCCACCCAAAUUCUGUUCCCACAACUAAAACCUUGUGACUAGAAGGACAAUGUUCUAACGACAACCACAUAUUUUGCCUAUUCUGUUCCUAAUUUGAGAAUGCUUUGUCUUGUCCUUUCUGAGCCUUGUUUACAUUAAUUUCCAUAGAAACUGCACAUAACUUGCCUUUACUCCAAUUGAUUGCCAGUAAAAGUCAGUGCCUGGGACUGGCCAGGGCCUUUGUCUGUUGCACUGGCAUUGUUUAUCCUGGCAUCCAGCUUUCUCUCUCUUAGUUCUGUCCUUUAGUAUAUUUUUUUCUCAGGCCUUCAUCAUAUACUGGGCAGGAGACUGGAACCUAACUGCAGGGGUCUACAGUAGUGUUCAGAGAGGAUUUCUGGGCCAAUUAAGUAUAGAAGAAAACAUGGAAAGAAGAAAUUGUCCUUAGGCAAAUGCCAGAGUAUAAAUUACCAUGGGCACAUUGCAAUAGAGCACACUUCGUGAGUGAGCAGGAAGUGGAAGUGGGAUGUUCUAUGUGGGUCGUUUCCAAAUAGCUGGCUAUGAUAUCAAUAGCAGAGGUGGGAAAUAGUAAUUUCCUGUUGCAAAUCCUGGCAAAUGCUACCAUAGAGGAGAUGCAGAGUAACAUCAGCAGUUAUAGGACUGAGUGACACCAUACACCUCCUAAUGUGACACCUGGGGUGGGCAUGUCACCUCUUCUGUACUCUUGACAAAAACACCCCAUCUUAGUCUCAUCAAGAGGGGAUUCUGGCCAGCCAGCUGAGGGGCCUGUGCACAGGGAUGAGGGUGGGAUUCAUGGAAGACAGCAGACAGCCACAGAUGGGAGGGGACUGAGGUGUCCCAGCCACCAAAUACAAUGUGAGGUCCUAGAUAGAUCCUGGAAGUGACAGAUGGGUGCAGUCCAAGUGAACUCUCAAAUGAGACUAGCAAUAGCUUAAGAAUGUCCAUUUCCUAUUGCCAAUUAUCUUGCUGUGGUUCUCUUAGGUUCUGUCCGAAGGAGCCAGGCGAUGGCGUUUAUAGGAACUCUAUGCCCUUCUUUAAAUCUGAAAUUUCUUCUACAGAAAAGAUGUAAAAUAAAGCUAAUAAAUAGGUUUUUGUAGGCAGCAUAAUUCAUGUCAUCUGACAGUCUGUACCUUGUAACUGGUGAUUAAUAUAUGGUCAUUUCCAUGUGAUUACUCAGCUGCUUUGAGCCCGUCUUCCAGCUCUACUUUAUGUGCUCUUUGUUCACUCUUCCCUGAGUUUCUUCCUUCAUUUGGAUUAGUAUUUCCAUUUCUCUCUUGGCCAUCCCUCUGUUGUGUUGUGUGUAUGUGGUUGUCUUUGACAAUGACUCUUUCUGCCAAAGGCCUUCCCACAUUGCUUACAUACAUAGGGUUCCUCCCCAGUGUGAAUUCUUUCAUGUCUUUGAUGAUGGGCCUUUGUUGGGAAUGCUUUCCCACAGUGCUUACACACAUAAAGUUUCUCCCCAGUGUGAAUUUUUUCAUGGAUGUGACAAUAAUUGUGAGUGGCAAAUGUUUUUCCACACUGCUUACAUAGAUAGGUCCUCUCCCCAGUGUGUGUAUGUGUGUUUUCAUGUCAUUUACAAGUGCUGUUACUGGCGAAAGCUUUCCCACAGUGCCCUUAUACAAAUGGUUUUUCUCCAGUGUGAGUACUUUCACGUCUUUACCAAUGACUCUUUCUCCUGAAAGCUUUUCUAUAUUGCUUACAUACAUACAGCUUCUCUCUAUUGUGUAUUUGUUCAUGUCUUUUACAACUGUAUGAGCUGAAAGCUUUCCAACACUGCUUACAUUCAUAGGUUUCAGCUUCUUCUUUAGAUACAAAAGGCUUCUCUCCAAUGUCAGUUCCUUCACUGCAGUUAGAGUAGGAUUUCCCACAUUGCUUAUAUUCAUAGGGUUUCUUUCCAGGACUUGAUGUUGCGUGCUUCUGAAAGGACUGGAAAUCACUGCAGGUUUCCCCAUGUUCAUUACACCUAGACAGCUUCACUUCCAGUACCUGAUUCUCAUAUGACGUGAGUGUACUAUGAGCUCUGAUGGGCACAUUUGUUGAUGCAUGACCAAUCCAGGAAUUUCUACAAGCAAGGCUUUCUGCUGGCUGUGUACCAAGUGUUUUCGUGUUAACAUUACGGUCUGGAGUCCAAAAAGACAUUUCUUUAUGUGAAUUCCGUAAUUUAUAUUGGUAGCAUUCCUCUACAUCUUCACUUCUUAGAUUUCUUCUCCAAUAUUCACUACCGUUUUCAAUUUGCUGGUCAGUCUAGUUUUCUUCUAUAGCAGACAUGUUCUUCAAUAGUUCCAACAUCACAUCUCUGUAGAGCUUCUUUUGGGAUGGAUCCAGCAAAUCCCAUUCCUCCAAAGAAAAGUUCACAGCCACAUCCUCAAAGGUCACUGCCUCCAUUGUGUGGCGUCAGUGUCACCUAGGGUCCUUCCCAUGCAGCACAGAGCCAGUAGAAGCCAUGGAGCAACAUGGUCAAGACAGGUGGUGUAGAUCUCAGUAAUGUGCCCAGGUUGCAGAAGUAUGUGCCAUGACACUGCAAGAGUCCUACUUCCUGCUCCCCUCUGCUUGAACAGGUCAUUGUAUGUGGCUGUCUUCAAGUAUUGGCGUAGGACUGCCAGGCCUCCCUUCAGUGCCCAUCCCCCAUGCUGCAUGUGCCCGGGAACAGUGCAACAUUUCUGCCUUCCUGCUUGCAUGCUGCUGUUUCCUAUGUUUUCUUUCUUUGCUCAUUGUAGACCCUGCCAUGCCUUGCUGUCAUUAUUCUUUUCACUGGGAUAAAAUGUGCCUCACAUGAACUGGCCCCCAUUACCCUGGACUGCACAGCCCCAUGGCAUCAGGUGCAUCACAGUGCUGGGCAACUGUCUCCACUGUGCAUCUCUGCCGUGCCUGCGUCAUGGGAUGGCUUUCCUCUAGAAAGCAUUGAUUUGUCUUCUCCAGUAAUUGAAAGCAUAAUAGACUGAGGUUUUAUGGCCACCACUUGUUGCCCUUCCUGGCAAUCCUCAUGCUCAUGUUGGGGGCAUCAUGGGAGGCCUUCCUCUCCUGUCCCACACUGAGCAGCUCUGCGGGGGAGGGACACGCUCACCUUCCGUGUGUGUGCAGGGUCCUCUGUCAGGAGAGCCCUCUGUGCUGACAGCAGCAUCCCUCCAGCCUGGUGGCCAGACUGUACCAUGAAGUGUUUAUCUGUGCAGCACACAGGUGAGUGAAGAGUUAUUACACUGGGUGAGGGGGCCAGACUAAAGCACCCAUGACCUGUGAACUCGUGUUUGUAAGACUCAAAGCUCUAAGCAAUUUAAAGACUACAAAGAGACCCAUGGGUGGCUGGACUGUACGUGGAGAACAUAAGGCCUAAAAGUAACAACAAGGCAGGUGGGGGAGCCUCCAAUUCAGGCCUGCAGUUUUCAGAGACUUUUCCUGGGCCAGAGAGUGUGGAAGCCACUGUGCUGGAGGUGGCUCUCCGGGUCUCUGCAGUCACAUGUCUCCUCCUCUUGUUGCUUCUUGCCUGUCUGUGUCCCUGUAGGAUGGUGUCCCCCAGACCUACCCAUGUUCUCUGAAUGGAAAGCAUCAGUUUUUCCAGACAGAGCUCAGGAUAUGAGAGGAGGAAGGGCAGAGGUGUUUUUAUUGAACGCAGGCUGGGGUGGAUGCUUAGCCGGGGCCUGGGGACAACACCACAGCCUGACCUGCACCUGCAGGGACACAGCUGUCCCUGUGUGUGGAUGGCACCCUCUGCUGGCAGGAGGCUGCCCAUCUGUGCCAUAUGGUCAAGGCUGGGUGUGUGUGUGUGUGUGUGUGUGUGUGUGUGUGUGUGUGUGUUGGCCUUGACCUGAGUCCCUGGGUCAGCUCAUCAUUUAUAAAAUGGACACAAGGCCCCAGGUGCCCUCCGGAAGUUGAAGAUCUCAUGGAAACUGUGUAAGUUCAGUGGGUCUGGGGUUUGGAUUCUUUGGUCCUUUGUUCUCUGUCCUGGAGCAGUGAUUCCCAGCCGGCCCCCAUCUUGCACCCCAGGGAGAGAGCUCUGGCUGGGGUUGUGCAGACCCAGGGGCGGGAGUCUGCUCAGCUUCCUGCAGGUGGAGGCCACUGAUGAGUGGGCCUUGGUCCAAACAAGAUCCCAGGAGACGGAGGGGUGGGGCGUUCCGGGAGAGUCAGGAGACCUGGGACAGAGGGGAGGACCAACCCCAUUUCCGGGACAGUCCCCGCUGUGUGGUGCAUCUGGGUGUGCAAGUGGAGCACACCCAGCUCUGCUCUGAUGACUGGACAGUGCAGGCACUGAGCUUCCUGUGUCCCCAGCCUCUUCUGCCCUCCCUCCUACCUCUCCUGUCCUGCAUCCUUCUUUGAGAGGGAAGCCACAAGGGCCUGGGUGCUGGCCCAGGGGCAUGGCCUCUCCCCACCCUCCUCUGAUGUGUCCUUCCUGUGACCUCUGCUGCUGGGGUCCCUUGUGCUUCCCUCCUCCACUGCCUUUGGACGCAUUCCCCAGCCCCCCAGCCUGUGAGAGGAAGGGACACAUACACAGGUUGCCUAGAAGUGAACAGCUUGACUAGAAGCACACAGAACACAUCUCAGCAGAGGACAGACAGGCCGUGGUGGCAGCAGAGGGCACAGGGGUCACUUCUGUGCAGCUGUCACUUCUGUCACCUGGAGGGCCAGGAACAGUCCUCCCUGGUCCCUCUUUUAGGGUGAAGAGUGAGCCUGGCUGAGGACGUGUCUUCUCAGCAGCUUCUGAGGAUAGCCCCUAAGCCAUGCAAGGUCAGCAGUGACCGCACUCUGGGACCAUGGAGGCCAGGCUAACCCACAGCAGUACAGCUUUGUGGGGAGACCUGCAACAGGGAGAAGCUCAGGCUACAGAGGGAUAAGGGUUCUGAGGUGCCCUGGGCACCCUGGUAAGUGGCUUCCAAGGGGCUGGGCUCUCAGGGACCUUCUAGUCCUCUAGGGGCACAGGAAGGACCUCGGUGUAUGCAAGGGGUGAGGGCAGCUGCUUCCCGUGUCCCUAGCCCCUUGCUGCUCCUGGCCCUAUGGUCUUCAUGUGGGGCCACAGCACUGGGAACAGAAGUGAGGCAGGGAGGCGGGGCACUGGGGCUUCCAAGUACUUCAGGAGAAGAUGACAUCAAUGUGGACCAGGGACCAGCUGACUCAGGUCCCGUCCUGAUCAAGAACCGCUGUGGUGGACCAGUGAGUUCAGACAAUAGAGGUGCGCCAUACUCUGUGCCAGAUUCGAGCCCAUUUAUUAUAGCUGGCGGUCGAGGGGGGCCGGUGCCCUAGAAAGUUUCCUGGGCAAUGGGAAGCAGUUUGAUUUCUCCUUUUAAAUCAUGCUUUCAGUUGAGGAGGGCUCAGGGGAGAGCAAGAGGAAUCUUACAGAAGCAGAAACAUGCCAGGCUAGUGGGGGGUACAAGGAAGUUUCACACACACCAGGUGAGCUACAGAACAUCCUGCAACAGCAGCAAGUUUACUGCCAGGCAGGAUGUGGGGGUUGGGGAUGCUUUGUUCAUGUGCAAGCACUGUGUUCAAGCACAGGUACAAAGUGACAUUGAGGCACAAGAUGGAGUCAGCUUGGCUAUCACACUACAUGCGUGGGUGAUGGUCACCACCCCACUCAGGUCCCACUGUGGAGGUGGCCACCUCCAUUAAGGCUGGGUGUGUCCUGGCCACUGGAGGAGCCCUUGCCAGCCUCCCCCCCAGGAUGCUGCCUGUGUCCCUGUGUCCUGGUGUCCCCAUGUAUGACAGUGCUCUCCUCACAGCAGCUUUGGGAAGCAGGAUGAAGGGGCAGGAAAGGGUGCCUGGGGGCCCCUGGGGACUCAUCGAGGCAGACUGGGGUGGCUGCAUUCUCACCAUGGAGCUGUGGGGUCCGAGGUGGUGUGGAGCCCCAGGUGGAGCCGGUAGAGGCCUAUGGGUGGGCUCAGCCCUGGACACCAGAGAUGGGGGUGGGGGAGGGGGGCUGAGGACUGGAGGAAGUUCUGUAACGUGGUCACAGUCAUGGCCCAGAGUGGCUGCCCCUUAACCCCACAUGUACCUGUGGUUCCUCCUGGAGACCAUGGAGUGAGAUUUGCUGAACAGAAUAGACUGUUGACCCGGCUUGGCUCAAUUCAGAAGAAAUAAAGGAUCACAAAUACAUAGAAGAGACCAGAGAGAAAACCCAGGCUUCAAACUCCAGCCUCAGACUCUCAAAGGCACAGCCCUCCAUGGCCCCAGGGCCUUUGCCGUCACUAUUCUCCAGGCCUGAGUCACUUUUGCUCCUCCUCACUGUCCCUCUCCACAGCAUGUGUUGCCAUCUGACUGUGUACUCGGGUGGGUUCCUGAGUCUCCCUCACCAGGCUGCCAGCCCCUUUACUGGGUUUCACUUCUCUCUCCGCCUCUAGUCCCCAGCACUCCUGCCUCCUGUGGCUGGGCUGUCCCCGCUCUGGGAGUGGGGGCAUCGGGCUCUCUUCCUGUGGCUCCAUCCUGCUGUGUGGGUCUCACACACCCCACUGGGAAUCUCUCUCCAGUGACAGAAGGAUUAGAGCCCUUGCUGCCUUUGUAAUGUGUCUCCUGGGUCUCAGGCCUCCAUGGAGACCCCGUGAGCCUGUAGGGCAGACACCAUUCUCGUGCCCACUUAGAGGAGGAAGCUGAGGGUCCCAGGGGGUGAGGAACUCAGACCAGUGAGUGACCUGGGUUUCGGGCCAGGCUCUGUGGCACAUGUGACAUGGCCCCUUCUGACUGCUCAGGCCCUGCUCCACCUCCCAGCAGCUGGUCCAAAGCUCUGUCCCCAUGGGCCAAUCCCCUCCUGCAGAGGUGAAGAGCUAUGUGCCUGUGCUCUGAUCCCCAAUGGCCCAGCCCCCCUGCCCUUUGGAGGACACUCCCUGGCCAUGCAGCUGGGCUAGACCAGUCCUGGAGGCUCCCACAUACUGCAGAGGGUCCUGGGUCCCAGGGACAGAGCUGCUCUUCUAUGAACUGUGAUCAUUCUGAGAAAGGUCCAGGUGCUGGGCUGGGGUCUCAGUAGGAAGAUCUCACACCACGGGCUUCUUCCCAGAGCUCCCUGUCUGUCAUGCAGCAGAGCUCUGGGCCCCCCUGCGCAUGGUACUGGUGACACAGGUGUCACUGAUGAGACAGGUGUGGAGAUGCUGAGGCAGAUGCCAGCUCCUAGGAGCGCUGAAGCACUCAGCAUGACUGAGUCUUGCUGGUGCUCUGAAGCCAGCCCCCAGCAGAACUGGGUCUCCCAGGGCUCCCAUGGGAAGUUGUGGCAGCCCCCAGGUGGCACCUGUGCUGGUUCCAGCUAGCUGCAUCAGUGGGUGGGAGAGGCAGGCAGGGGGCAGGGGCUGCUGGGUCAUCAGGAAUCUGGGCCAGGGAGUAGGCUGCUGCCAGGAGGGGUGCUGCAGGCUUGGAUGGCAUCAGGAAAACCUUGGUGCUCAUCCUGCAAAGAUGAGCCCUGAACUGUGAGAGGAAACAGACCCUUUAGGUACAGCCAUUUCCUGUGGAGUGGCCCUCGCAUGCCCUCUAGUGACAAAGUUGUGUCAUCCCAGCACAACAGAGGUCCAACCUGUGUCCAGGAGCCAGGAGAGGGGAGAGGAGGGUUUGGAACUGAGUCAGCAAGUUGACAGCUGUGAGUGAGUGACAAACUCUAGAGUCAUGGUCACAGCAUGUGUCACUGGUGAAGAGAGGCAAGAGAACCUAGGCAUGGCCUUGCCAGGGAGCCAAGGAAUGGGUGGAAAGGAGACCUGGGAGCAGGAGGGUGCGAGGAGAAGGGCACAGGGAUGGAGGUGAGAUUUUGUCAAAGUAGCUUCCAAUGCGGUUUCAAACUGUGCACAGGGAAGUAUUUUACAUGUUCAGAACUUACCGUUAACUCGGCAUGGUGAUGCACACCUGUAAUCCCAGCAUUCUGGGAGGCUGAAGCAGGAGAAUCACAAGUUCAAGGCCACCCUGGGCAACCUAGCAAGACCCAGGCCCUGCCUCAAAAUAAAAAAUGAAAAAGAAGCCUAGAUGGUCAGUGGUAGAUGGCCCCUGCAUUUCAUCACCAGUACUGAAAAAAAGAAAAAACCCAAAGCAGUCUCUGCUUCCCAAGUCAUGACCAGACACUCAUGGUGACCUGGCCUCAAUGGCAGAGACACGGCUGGCUGCACCCUUUGUCCAGAGCCACUGGGGCCCCACCUGGGAGAACCAUGUGCUUAGAGCAUCUCCUCCACAGCCGGAGCACAGGGACCACACAGGAGGGCUGCCCGGGCUCAGGGUCACCUCCUGGAGCAAGGUGUCACCCUGCUUCAGCCUCCCAAGCAGUUGGACUACAGGUGGGCCCCAGCACACCUGGCCCAAGUCAAAACCAGCAGGAUAAAGGAAGCCUCAGGCCACCAAAGAAAGAUGGUGGGCAUCAGACUGGCUCAUUCAACUCUGCCCCCAAGGGUGACCUGACAUGGGCCUGGCCCUCUCAGAGCUGUGAUGUGGCCCAGGCUGGCCUCAAACUCAUGGUGAUCCUCCUGCCUCAGCCUUCUGAGUGCUAGAAUUACAGGUGUGCACCACCACAUCCCACUUUGUGGCCAAGUUUUUAAACUGGCAAGUAUUGACUUCAUUACAUUACAUUGUAUUUUCAGAAACGUGAAAUGUAUUUGUUGAACUCUGUAGGGUUUUUUGUUUAAUCUUUUCCUUACAUAUAUUUUCAUUAUUUGAAUAGCUCAGUUAUUUUCAGCGAUCUUUUCUGAAUGGUGCAUGUGUGGUACUGGGGUUUGAAGCCAGGGCCUUUGCACUGAGCUAUGUAUAUGCCACCCCCUUUUUAUUUUCUGUUUUGAGACAGGAUCUUGCUAAGUCAAUAAGUUACCCGGCCUGGGCUCGAACUUGCAAUCCUUCUGCCUUGAGUGCUGGUGAUUUGCCACCACACCUGGUGGCUUCCCAGGUAUUUGUAUUCACUUCAUUUUGUAAAUAUAGCUGUCCAGGUUUUGUCCUAACUUUAAAAAUUACAUCUUGAUUCAUGUGUAUUAAUUUAGUAGCCAAUCUUCUUGAUGAAUUUCCUUAAUGCUUGGUUUUUUUGUCAGUUCUCUUCAUGCCAAUAGAAAUAAUUCACCUCCUCCUCUUCAAUUCUUGGACCUCUAAACAUUUCUGAUUGUACCAUCAGAAACCUCCCAUACAGUAAGUGAAGAUGAUGGCUGUCCUGGCUGGCUUGUGCUGCUGUGGACAGGGUGGCAUAUAAUGAACAGGAACGGACUUCUCACAGCGCUGCAGGCUGGGAGCCCAUGACUAGCAACCAGAAGGAAGAAACUAAGAUAAGGGGUUUUCCUCUGCUUGUACACAUCUGUCCGUAACCUUUCUGAACAUCUCUCAGAUGUGGAGUUGGUUGGGGCCAGCUUGGUGAUCCACUGUAGAUGGAGCUGGCACUGUUCCUCACAGUCCUGUGGCUUCUUGGAAGGUAAGGUGUUCGUUCCAACCUGAUGCAGGACCAAGCUCGGUCUGGAUUGGUCCAUGGGCUCUGAGUGGGUGUGGCAUGAGCAAAGGCUUACAAAGCGCUGUCCUGGUCAGGGUUGCCUUUCCCUGGAGGUGCUGGCAGUGCAGGUUCUCAGUGGCUCUGCAGCCUUUGGCCAAGCACAGCAUUCACCUCAAACAGGUUCUGACUCAAGGAGCAUGGGGGUCCCUUGGGCAGGCUCAGAGCUCACCCCUCUAAGAUCUGUUAAACGCCCAUCAAUCUGCAGGUCCAUGGCUGAGAAAUACAUGUUUAUUGUUCAACGCUGUUAAGGUUUGGGGUGAUGGUCACCCGGAUCGCUAUGGGAAUAGUUGACUGACUCAUGAACUGAUCCUAAAAUAUUUUUCUUGUAAUAGGGAAGCCAUGCACAUUUCCAUGUGGUGACAGGACUGCAGUGGGCCCCUUUGCUCUGUGGCUGUUAGUGCUUCGUGUCUCCCCAUGUGCCCAUGGCAUGCUGGGGGCCGGGCCCAUGAGGCGCUGCUCUCUCCCUUGCUGUGGUUUUUGUUUCUGUAGGAAGAGGCCGUGGGUUCAUUCCAGAGGUACAUUGUAGCUCUCUGUACAUAGGGCAUUUACCAGGGGCACUGGUGCGCUCCGUCCCUGGGGCAGAAACUUCCCCAGUGUGCCAGAAGUAAGCCAGAGACCUGGAAAGGCUGGUGGUGUCAUCGUUCAAGUCCUCAGGCCUGGGAACCUGGGAGCCGGGGUGUGAUGCUCAGUCCUGAGCCAAAGGCCUGAGUGUGAAGGCACAGGAACCGGGUGUGACACAGAGGUGGGAUAUGUGGUCUUGGCUCAGCGUCCCAGUCCCGAGGCCAGAUGAUGCCCAUUCCCAGGCAUGAGGGUUGGUCCUCUUUGUCGGCACACAGAGCACCUGGAAAGGGGCGCGUCCCUAGCCCCAGCACAGCUUCUUUGUGUGAAUUGGAAGACAGGGGCCCACUAGAGACACACUCUCCAGGGCUGUGCUGGGGAUCGAACUCAGGACCUUGCGCUUACAAGGCAGGUGGCAGAACCAUUGAGCUGAAUCCCUGGCCCAGCCCCUCCUUUCUUAAUUAGCCCCUUCCUAUUUAGGAUGAUCAGGUUUAAGCACCAUCACUUGACUCUCAGCUGUUAGUGCAGCGGGGGAAGAAGCCAACUCUGAUCUUCACAUCCUCCCUUCUCUCCCCAGGAAGAAAGUGGUGCUGUCUGUUCUGCCCGCACAGGGGGCACAGGUCGGCCUCCUGUCCCAGCUUCUGCUUCCUUUCCAUGCACAACUGAGCAUCAUCUGCCCUCACUGCAUCUCUCCAAAGUGCUCUCGGCUGGGUGUUCAUCCUCCAAAGGCAAACAUCCCUCAGAGAGGCUGCGAAUGGCAGCCUUGUGUGAGUCCUCUGCAUGUUGACUGGAGCUGGAUGUUCUGGGGCCAGCAUGGCAGGAAGACAGCGGGCCAGGGCCAGGGCUUGGGCUGUGUCUCAACAGUGGCCCUUGUGCUUCUCUGGGGACCUGUGGCUCUAGAACGAAGUGUUGUACCCAGGCCGUGAGGACCCCGAAGACAACCAAGGAGCCGAUUCCGAUGCAAACACACAAGGGUCGUUUAUUCAAGCUCGAGCAGGGACUCUCAACUGUCACUGAUGCAGCGGGUCAAGAUUGAGAGCCCCUAACUCCAAAUCAGCAGGGGUUUUUAUAGUGGUUACAGCAAGGUUCGGGGAGUUCCAGUUUGGAAAUUACAUGAUUGGCUGAUAUUUAGCAAGUUUUGAAUGUUUAAACCUGAUUGGCUGUGCCUCACGGGCCGAACUGCAAACGGCUGCUCAAGCUAUCGAAAAGAACAUCUGGGACACUGGGGUAUUGGGGUAACUACUGAUUAGCUGUUGUAAGCCAUCGAGAAGAGUAUCUGGGACAUUGGGAUAGCUACUGAUUGGCUGUUGCUAGGGGACUGUUGAACAUUAUCACAAGCAGGUGGUCAAAGUA